GUGCUAGCAGCCGCGGUAAUACAGAGGUCUCGAGCGUUAGGCGGAAUCACUGGGCUUAAAGCGUGUGUAGGCGGCGGGCUAAGUACCUUGUGAAAUCCCACGGCUUAACUGUGGAACUGCUGGGUAUACUGGUUCGCUUGAGCGGUCUAGGGGCGAGCGGAACAAAUGGUGGAGCGGUGAAAUGCGUAGAUAUCAUUUGGAACGCCAACGGUGAAAACAGCUCGCUGGGGACCUGCUGACGCUGAGACACGAAAGCCAGGGGAGCGAACGGGAUUAGAUACCCCUGUAGUCC
rnacentral:rRNA from 1 species